AUUUGAUUUACUUUUACUCUUUUUCGGUAACUUUAGUGGCCCUAAAAGUUGACUUUUUAUUCGGGUCAAAAUUUGAGAAAAUGUUCUUCAUGAAAGUUGUAGAGAACGUUAAACCGAGCGCGUGCAUAUGUGGUACGUAAAAAUCGGAGUUCGUAUGUGAAAGUUAUAAGCGAAAUACUAAAAUUACUGUUCAUAUAGUAAGUUUCUAUAAAUAGCCGAGUUACUGUGGUAAGUUUCCAUUUUCCGAAACUUACCGAGCCUCUCCCCGAUUCUCUCUUCCUCUCCGACCUCUUCACCUUCUUCCGGCCAUAACUCCUCCAUCCGGCGACGGAUUUUGAUGUGUAAGAUGUCGUUAGAAAGCUCUCUUCCUUCUCUUCAUUCUGGGUUCGUUUCGUAGCUUAAUAUGAACUGUGGAAGGUGCAGCAACGAGAAGAAGAGGACGGUCACUGUAGUAGUUUUGAGUCAACGCCGAUAUUUUCCGAUUCCGGCAGUCUCCGGCCACCAAAUUGGCGUCGAAGGGUUCUUGGAAUUUCUGGAAAUUUUUCACCGGCCAAAUUGGAGCUCUUCCAGGGCAAUGCCGCGAGCUACGGUUAAAUGAAGGAACUCGUUUGCGUGGUCGCCCAAUAGUACUUUUGCAGGCAAAAUUAGUUGAGGUCGGGCGUACAUGGAGUCGAGGCAUAGCCAACAGCAUUGCGUCCGCGUACUCAUUCUAUUUCUGUUUUCUUUGUUACCUAGUGGAUUAGUAUUGCUCUGAUAACCUAUGGGAUUAAUAUUGUUUUUGGGUUGAGACUGAUAUUUGUGAAAUUGGAGUUGUGAUUUGGGGAGCAGAUGGCUCCAGAAGAUUAAGGAUUGAUGAUUUAGAAGUGUAAAUGUUUUCCUACAGGUUUUGGGUAGCCUAAUUUUAGGGGAAGUUCCGCCAAAUUUUUGGUAGAAUCUCUUCUAAAGUGGGCCCCGCAGGGCCACUUCGGAUUUCAGGGUGAAAUCUGGGGCGGGUCCUGUCAGUUGGUAUCAGAGCAUUAGGUUGUUAGGUUCUGUAGACUCGUUUCUAUUCUGUUACCUUAUAUGCUUGGUGUUGCCCAGUACCUCUCGAGUGAUGGCCCGACUGCAGCGGUUCCCCAUCGUGUACUCUUCGGUACUGUGGUAUUCAUCAAGUGUGUAAGGUACAAAGCUAGUUGGUUUUCUUCUGGUGCUAUGCCUCUUGUACGCCGACCUCUUAGGGAUUCCGCUGCGUAUUGGUCUCCUUACAUAUGCACCUUUCCCUGGUAUUGGUAGAGUAAGGCUACUCUACAGAUUCGA